UCGUCCCCUUCAUGAACCAAACCCCAAAUUACCUGAAGGCCCCAGUUUGGAUUUGACGAAAAUCGCGAACCCUCAAAUCAUGAAGAACCUGAAUUUCUCUCGGUUUUUCUCCCCAAUUUGAUCACUUCUUGUCCUUUCCCUCAGGCCGAGUUCUUUUUCUGUCGAAUCGAUAGGGGUUGAGUCCCCCAUUUCGCCCAACACUCGACUGAUGUCUUUGCUCGGAUUCGCUCGUCCAAACCGCGAAGAUUUGGAAGCAUGAAUCUUGCCUUGCUGUCAUGGUUUCCGGUGACUGUGUGAUCACUCACAUGGACUAUCAUAAGAAGGCAAUGGACAUCUAGAGCUCACGCAGCUGUUGAAGACUGGAAACAUGAAUCUUGCCUUGUUGGCUUACGAAACUUUUUGCUUGCAGUGUCUCAGUAUAAUUUUUGUUUAAUACAGGUAGUACUCUUAUGGACUUAGAUUGUUCUGGGCUCUAGCAUGCGCGGAUGAGAUAUGCAUAGUUUGGAGAUUGCAUUAUCUUUGACUGAAAUGUCGAAAAGUCUUUUAGUAAGGGCUGUAACCCUUCACUUCCAAAAUCGAAGGACAUGGAUAAAGUCAUGGAUUUAGAGUUCAAUUCAUCAGAGCGUGAGCCUAGAGAUGGACUGCACACUGCUAAGUCAUUUUGUGAUGCCGAACUGUUUGAUAGAUGGUCCGAACUGUUUGAUGCUG